rnacentral:rRNA from 1 species
UCGGGAAUUUUGGGCAAUGGGCGAAAGCCUGACCCAGCAACGCCGCGUGAAGGAUGAAGUAUUUCGGGUUGUAAAGCUCUUUUACCAGGGACGAUAAUGACGGUACCUGGAGAAUAAGCCCCGGCAAACUUCGUGCCAGCAGCCGCGGUAAUACGAAGGGGGCUAGCGUUGUUCGGAAUUACUGGGCGUAAAGCGCACGUAGGCGGAUUGUUAAGUCAGAGGUGAAAUCCCGGAGCUCAACUUCGGAACUGCCUUUGAUACUGGCAAUCUAGAGUCCGGAAGAGGUUAGUGGAAUUCCCAGUGUAGAGGUGAAAUUCGUAGAUAUUGGGAAGAACACCAGUGGCGAAGGCGGCUAACUGGUCCGGUACUGACGCUGAGGUGCGAAAGCGUGGGGAGCAAACAGGAUUAGAUACCCCCGUAGUCCCUGAGCGGGC